rnacentral:rRNA from 1 species
AUACGUAGGGGGCGAGCGUUGUCCGGAAUGAUUGGGCGUAAAGGGCGCGUAGGCGGCCCGGUAAGUCUGGAGUGAAAGUCCUGUUUUUAAGAUGGGAAUUGCUUUGGAUACUGUCGGGCUUGAGUGCAGGAGAGGUAAGUGGAAUUCCCAGUGUAGCGGUGAAAUGCGUAGAGAUUGGGAGGAACACCAGUGGCGAAGGCGACUUACUGGACUGUAACUGACGCUGAGGCGCGAAAGUGUGGGGAGCAAACAGGAUUAGAUACCCUGGUAGUCCACGCGGUAAACGAUGAAUGCUAGGUGUAGGGGGUAUCGACCCCUUCUGUGCCGCAGUCAACACAAUAAGCAUUCCGCCUGGGGAGUACGGCCGCAAGGUUGAAACUCAAAUGAAUUGACGGGG